CCCUUAGAUGUCCUGGGCCGCACGCGCGCUACACUGAGUGUCUGAGAUACGAGUCUGCCUGGUCCGGCAAGGUCUAGGUAAUCGCUAAAAGACACAUCAUGCUUGGGAUAGAUUAUUGCAAAUAUUAACCUUGAACGAGGAAUUCCUAGUAAGCGCAAGUCAACAGCUUGCGUUGAUUACGUCCCUGCCCUUUGUACACACCGCCCGUCGCUACUACUGAUUGGAUGUUUAAGCGAGGUUCUCGAACUGCUAGCGACUUAGCUUCGGUGAGGUCGCAGGGUGGGAAGUGAACCUAGCUUUGGUGUCUAGAGGAAGUAAAAGUCGUAACA
rnacentral:rRNA from 1 species